UUUCUCUUAGAACAUCCCUAACUUAGGCCUUUUUCAUGUUAAAAUUACUAUAAUGCUACUGUGCACAAAAGGAAAUAUUAGGAAUGUAGAAGUGCACAGCCACAACCAGUAUGCACUUGGCAAAGAAUUACAACUUUUUACAGCAUCCUUAAUUUUUAGGGUGCGUUUGGACGAGACUUUAAGUUCAAUGGUAUUUAUCCCCAAUUAGAUAUGAUACAAAAUAAAAAUUAGAUGAAAGGGAUUUUGAAAAGGGUAAUAUGCUAGGGAGAUUAAUUUUUUAAACUAAAUGAUUUGUCACCAAUAAAACAUAAGUACAUCUAUCGAUAACAAUCCAAUCAUUAAAAACCACGUUAUUUAAUUUACAAAAUUUAGUUUAGAAAUUUUCUCUCCCUAUCAUUCCCCUUUUGAAAAUGACUAGGUGUUAUAUAUUUGAGAGAACGUUCAAGCCCUUUGUUUAGUGUCUUGUAGUGCAUCUGUAAUGUUCCUGUAAUAGCUUUGUAGUGUUUGAGUUGUGCACUUUUUUUUGUUAAAUUAAGGUCACAAAGUCAAUCCCACUCCAAUAUUGCUAUCAUAAGAAGUGACUAAUUGAUAAUUUCAUUAAUAGAAAUGAAAAAUACAAUAUGUCAAGGGGAACAUGAAGCCUAACCAUGACAACAAAAGAAGACCAUGAAAAACAAAGAAACAAAAUAACAACGACAAUAAAAUAAAACCUAUCAAAAGCAGUAGCUUGGAAGACCCACAUAAUCUUGAUGAUAAUAUGGCAUAAUAAAAGCAGGAGGUUAAUCCCACCAAACAAGAGUAUUUAAUGUGUCUUGUCACCAAGGUUCUAAACAUGCUAGGCCCUAAUCGAACGGCUGGUUGGGGCUUAGGCUAAGCUGACUAUGCGGAUUUAAAUAAAUCUAUUGUAGUUCAUGUAAAUAACUGUCUAUUUAUACUUAAAAUAUAUAUAAUUUCAUCGUAAAU
rnacentral:lncRNA from 1 species